rnacentral:rRNA from 1 species
CAGUAGCCGCGGGAAUACGUAGGUGGUAAGCGUUGUCCGGAAUUAUUGGGCGUAAAGGGCUCGCAGGCGGUUUCUUAAGUCUGAUGUGAAAGCCCCCGGCUCAACCGGGGAGGGUCAUUGGAAACUGGGAAACUUGAGUGCAGAAGAGGAGAGUGGAAUUCCACGUGUAGCGGUGAAAUGCGUAGAGAUGUGGAGGAACACCAGUGGCGAAGGCGACUCUCUGGUCUGUAACUGACGCUGAGGAGCGAAAGUGUGGGGAGCGAACAGGAUUAGAUACCCCCGUAGUCCCUGUCUCUUAUAC